AGUGGAAUCAUCAGCGUAAUAAAUAAAUAAAAAAAAUCUGGAUUUGCAACAAUUAUGCAACAAUAAUUAGAUGCAACAUACAUAUGCAUGAAUUUAGCAAGCGCUGAUCAGCAAACUGAGAAGUCCAAUUUGGAACAGGUGUGUCGGGGCGGGGCGACACCUGUUGUGGUGCGCAGGUAGGAGCUAAUGCUAACUUACUUAGCAACCAGUUUAACGGCGGCCGCGUGCUAUGGAGUUAACGGAUUUCGAUUUGUUUGCCAAGUUUAUUGCGCACAAUGAGAAAAGCAAAACGAGAGCUUCGUGGGAUUUUUCUUCUCUGGACUGGAUGGUGGAGCAAUGACGUCUCUUCAAAAAAUAUCCAGAUAUCCAUUCCAUCCAGGAGCCUUUCAAGGACUGACUGACAUUGGAGCUUUUUCAAACUUGCUUCGUGAGCUCAAUGUGUCACAUUCUGGAUGGAUGAAACAUCAAUCAAAAGGUGCUGCCCGCCUCGGAGAGAUUAGAUGAUGGCGGCUGCCCCCCUCCACCGGAUUCCUUUGCCACUUGGAAUGUCUCGCAUGCAGCGGAGGACGGAGCUGUGCCGGCGUCCUGAGGCGAGGGUUUCCUCACGGCUCUUUUGAAGGCAAAGUAGAUCUCCAUCCUCUGCAUCCAUCUGCAAACCGGUGACACUCUGAGACUUUGGAUCCACGAAGAUGUGAAAUAUGCCUGCGCAAUAAGAAGAAACGUGCGGGUUGCUAUCGCUGCAGUCUGAGCAGGAUGCACUUAUCCGUGCGCUGAAUGGCGCAACAGCAUGCCUUUGAUUAUUCAUGGCAGAUGGAUCGACGACCCAC